rnacentral:rRNA from 1 species
CGGGUGAGUAACACGUGGAUAACCUACCUAUAAGACUGGGAUAACUUCGGGAAACCGGAGCUAAUACCGGAUAAUAUUUUGAACCGCAUGGUUCAAAAGUGAAAGACGGUCUUGCUGUCACUUAUAGAUGGAUCCGCGCUGCAUUAGCUAGUUGGUAAGGUAAUGGCUUACCAAGGCAACGAUGCAUAGCCGACCUGAGAGGGUGAUCGGCCACACUGGAACUGAGACACGGUCCAG